CAGUAGCCGCGGUAAUGCGUAGGGUGCGAGCGUUAAUCGGAAUUACUGGGCGUAAAGCGUGCGCAGGCGGUUGUGUAAGACAGGUGUGAAAUCCCCGGGCUUAACCUGGGAACUGCGCUUGUGACUGCACAGCUAGAGUAUGGCAGAGGGGGGUGGAAUUCCACGUGUAGCAGCGAAAUGCGUAGAGAUGUGGAGGAACACCGAUGGCGAAGGCAGCCCCCUGGGCCAAUACUGACGCUCAUGCACGAAAGCGUGGGGAGCAAACAGGAUUAGAUACCCCCGUAGUCCCUGUCUCUUAUAC
rnacentral:rRNA from 1 species